rnacentral:rRNA from 1 species
UACGUAGGGUCCGAGCGUUGUCCGGAAUUAUUGGGCGUAAAGGGCUCGUAGGCGGUUUGUCGCGUCGGGAGUGAAAACCUACAGCUUAACUGUGGGCUUGCUUUCGAUACGGGCAGACUUGAGGCAUGCAGGGGAGAACGGAAUUCCUGGUGUAGCGGUGAAAUGCGCAGAUAUCAGGAGGAACACCGGUGGCGAAGGCAGCUCGCUGGGACGGUACUGACACUGAGGCGCGAAGGCGUGGGGAGCAAACAGG